ensembl:lncRNA
AUGACUACUCUAUGGUGCCAAAGAGACCGUAGAAGGAAAACAGACUCCGAGUUGAAUCCUAAUUUUGCCACUUCCUGCCUGAAAACUCUGUGCAAAUUAUUUAACUGUCUGUACCUGGUUUUCCUGUUGGUAAAAUAUGGAUGAUAAUACCUGCCUCACAAGAUUCUGUCCGUAAAACACUUGGCCUAAAGUAACAUACAGGAGAUAGCAUUUCUGAUGGUGACCUUUCUCAUAAAUAGUUUAUAAAUUUCUCACCACUCUUCUCAGUCCUGGCUGCAUAUUAGAGUCAUCUGGGGACCUCCUGAGGCCCAAACACCAUCCCCAGAGGUGUUGAUAUAGUAGCUGGGAUGACACCGUGGGAAAAGGAAAGGCUUCAACUCUUCUCCGAAGGUUACGCCAGUUAGGUUGGAAAGCCUGCUAGCUGAUUUCUUUAAACUCCUCCUCAUUUUUAGGUUUACAUACUACUGGCAGCAAAGACUCACUAUGUUUGAGCCUCAUAACUGGAGGAUAAGGCGACCAAAAAGCAUGCUGCAAAAACAUUUUUACAUUCGCUACCGGGAUUCCCUCAUCCUCACCAGCCUGGGAUUCGUGACUUUGGCUCUGGGAAUUGCUAUCACAAUCGGAGCUUUUAACAACGUGGUUGUCCUCCUUGGGAUGACGCUUGAUUUUCUGGGUGUCCUUCUUGGUAUUUUGGGGGGUAUAAACAUGUACACCACCUACUCGUGCUUCCAGAGCUCCUUAGAAGCACGAGGGGCAGCUGAGAACAUUCACCUCAUGUGGUGUCAGGUUCUACAUCAAGAGCCUGAACUCUUGGCCAGCAUCUGCUUAUAACCUCAUAUUUAAUCUGAAUAUCUCUAGGACUCCAAUUUUGUUUUAUGCAGCAUUUUCAAACUUGAAAUAAAAUUCUGAAAGCUACUGUGAAAGAGAUUUUCAAUGUCCCUUUUUUUUUUUCUCUUAACUUGGCCACACCAACGCACUGGAUUUGCUAUAGAAGUUCAUGACUGUUGACUUCUGAUCUCUGGUGAAAGAAGGGAAUGUUGGAGUACAGGUGAUGACGCUGAACCUUGCCAUAUAGAAGAGAUACCUACACGGACUUCUCUUGUAGAAUCCAGUCUUUCCACUCAUCCACAGAGACUUGUGAAAUCUGUUUUGGGCCCCUGAAUCUCGGCCUCAAACUGCCCAGUUCUCCAGAGAUAGACCUGGAGUUUGUACUAUGAUCUGUUAGGCUCCAGCCUCAGUUCUCAUGUGGAUCCAAUGAUUUGGAAUGGAAAUAUAGUGCCAGUAACCCAUGUUCCUGUCUGAGCUACCAGGGAAGCUUAAGAGGUGGGUGCUAGUUGUAAAGAGCCCGCCUGCCAAUGCGGGAGACAUAGAAGACGUGGGUUCAAUCCCUGGGUGGGGAACAGCAACCCACUCCAGUACUCUUGCCUGGAGAAUCCCAUGGACAGAGAAGCCUGGUGGGCUACAGUCCAGGGGAUCACAAAGAGUUGGACAAGACCAAACCGACUUAGCAUACAACCCAUGUUCCCAGCAUAGCUGUCAGCCAACACCAAUUGUCUUAUUGACUUCUCUCCUUAGUGCUUCAUUCAUAGCUGACUUCAUUCACAGUAUGGCACAUGGGUCCCUGGUUCCCUGACCAGGGAUCGAACUUGCACUCCCUGCACUGGAACCUCAGAGACUUAAUCACCAAACCGCCAGGGAAGUCCCCCCUCUUCCUUUGAACUGGUAUUUCCUCCUAUUGAAACGCUCAUUCUUCAAAACUCGUGCCGUCUCGUGAUAGCACGCCUCCUCCGCCUGGGACUGUCCUCUUAAGGUCCGACACACCGUGUGGCACCUUAUUCCUCAUCCCCCAUCAGCCAUUGACAGCUUCUCCUGUCCUACUGUUUUGCUCUCAUGACUAUUAUUCUUGAGGACAGGGAUGGCCCAUCAGCACAAAAACUGCUUGGUUCUUGUUGGAAUUUAAAAAAAUAACUUUGAUUGCAGGGACUUCCCUGGUGGUCCAGUGGUUAAGAAUCCAUCCUACAGGGGGUGUGGAUUUGAUCGCUGGUUGGGGAACUAAGAUCUCACAUGCCUCUUGGCCAAAAAAACUAAAACAUAAACAACAGAAGCCAUGGUGUAAGAAACUCGAUAAAGACUUUACAAGGGACUUCCCUGGUG